AAUUUAUGAGCUUGAUUAUAAGCAUAUGUUUUGAAAACAUAAGAUAAAAUUAAAUAUUUUAUAAAUUU
rnacentral:tRNA from 1 species